UACAUAGGUCCCAAGCGUUGUUCGGAUUCACUGGGCGUAAAGGGUGCGUAGGCGGUCGGGUAAGUCUGACGUGAAAUCUCCAAGCCUAACUUGGAAACUGCGUUGGAUACUAUCCGGCUCGAGGAAUGGAGGGGAGACUGGAAUACUUGGUGUAGCAGUGAAAUGCGUAGAUAUCAAGUGGAACACCAGUGGCGAAGGCGAGUCUCUGGACAUUUCCUGACGCUGAGGCACGAAAGCCAGGGGAGCAAACGGG
rnacentral:rRNA from 1 species